UACAGAGGGGGCAAGCGUUGUCCGGAUUGACUGGGCGUAAAGAGCUUGUAGGCGGUUUGUCGCGUCUGCUGUGAAAAUCCGGGGCUCAACCCCGGACUUGCAGUGGGUACGGGCAGACUGGAGUGUGGUAGGGGAGACUGGAAUUCCUGGUGUAGCGGUGGAAUGCGCAGAUAUCAGGAGGAACACCGGUGGCGAAGGCGCCACUCUGGGCCGAAACUGACGCUGAGGAGCGAAAGCGUGGGUAGCAAACAGG
rnacentral:rRNA from 1 species